UUACCCCUUAUGUUUAUUUCAUGACAAUACACAAUAAUCAAUGAUCAAUAAAGAGGAUGUACAUGACAUUAAAAUGUAUGUGUGUAUUUCUAUUAUUUCCCUUAUGUUUAUUUUCAUGACCACCAAUAAAAAACGACAGUGUUACCCCUUAUAUUUUAUUUGACAAAGACAACAGUGUUACCCUUUAUGUUUUUUUUCAUGACGACCAAUAAAAAACAACAGUGUUACCCCUUAUGUUUUUUUUCAUGACGACCAAUAGAAAACAACAGUUGUUACCCUUUAUGCUUUUUUUCAUGACGACCAAUCAAAAACAACAGUGUUACCCCUUAUGUUUUUUUCAUGACGACCAAUAGAAAACAACAGUGUUACCCCUUAUGUUUUUUUCAUGACGACCAAUAAAAAACAACAGUGUUACCCCUUAUGUUUUUUUUCAUGACGACCAAUAAAAAACAACAGUGUUACCCCCUAUGUUUUAUUUGAUAAAUAUCGAAAGUGUUAUCCCUUAUGUUUAUUUCAUGACGGCCGAUAAAAAAGGACCGAGUUACCCCUCAUGGUUUUUCCAUGUUGACCAAUAAAUAACAACAGUGGUACCCCUGUCGACGUUUUUGUGGGGAUCCGAACCUGAGCUGUUGAGUGUCCUGAGUGUUAACCUCCGAACUUAUCAAUUCACCAUCAAGACACAGAAUAAAGUCAACACAAUGGUUAUAAUUGACUUUGUAAUUCGCAUGAAAUAGAGAUAUGAGUCUUCCAACAGAUGACAUCAACCGGACUUGAACCCCGGUCUCCAGGGGGUUGCCUCAUAGCUCUCUCCACUUCCCACUGAGAUUUUUUUUUUAAAUGUCUGUGGUUAUAUAUGACAUGUUAUAUAUGAUGUGCAAUAGACAUGUUAGCAUUACGUUUAAAAUUAAAUAUAUUGUGUUUUCCACAGAAAUUGAGCCUCGGUCUCCAGUGGGUUAGGCAGAGUGCACUCCAUUGCACCACUGAGGCGAUGACAAUACACAAUAAUCUAUCAUCAAUAAAGAGGAUAUACAUGACAUUAAAAUGUAUGUGUGUAUUUCUAUUAUUCCACUUAUGUUUUUUUUCAUGACGACCAAUAAAAAACGACAGUGUUAUCCCUUAUGAUUUUUUCAU
ensembl:lncRNA